GCCAUUGUGUGGGGGGUUGUAUAUAUUCCUGUGCAUAAUGGACUGAGAAACGAGGUUCUAGUGGUGGAUAGUAAUGUUGCGAUGGGUCAUAUGGAGGGUGUGGGUAUGUCUGGUGAUAAGGACGGGGCUGACUGUAAUGAGAUGGUGCCAGAGGUCUGACCAAGGUUCCCCACUCCACUAUUGCUACUUCCUCUUUCUUCUUUUUCCCGAAAGCUCCCCCAGCUCCACCCUGGAUGACUUGUGUAGUCGCCUUAAUUUCCGAGUAGCUCAUGAUUUUAUUGGAUUUGAGGCCUUCCUC
rnacentral:lncRNA from 1 species